GACGUGGCGGCGUGCCUAAUACAUGCAAGUCGAACGAACUCUGGUAUUGAUUGGUGCUUGCAUCAUGAUUUACAUUUGAGUGAGUGGCGAACUGGUGAGUAACACGUGGGAAACCUGCCCAGAAGCGGGGGAUAACACCUGGAAACAGAUGCUAAUACCGCAUAACAACUUGGACCGCAUGGUCCGAGCUUGAAAGAUGGCUUCGGCUAUCACUUUUGGAUGGUCCCGCGGCGUAUUAGCUAGAUGGUGGGGUAACGGCUCACCAUGGCAAUGAUACGUAGCCGACCUGAGAGGGUAAUCGGCCACAUUGGGACUGAGACACGGCCCAAACUCCUACGGGAGGCAGCAGUAGGGAAUCUUCCACAAUGGACGAAAGUCUGAUGGAGCAACGCCGCGUGAGUGAAGAAGGGUUUCGGCUCGUAAAACUCUGUUGUUAAAGAAGAACAUAUCUGAGAGUAACUGUUCAGGUAUUGACGGUAUUUAACCAGAAAGCCACGGCUAACUACGUGCCAGCAGCCGCGGUAAUACGUAGGUGGCAAGCGUUGUCCGGAUUUAUUGGGCGUAAAGCGAGCGCAGGCGGUUUUUUAAGUCUGAUGUGAAAGCCUUCGGCUCAACCGAAGAAGUGCAUCGGAAACUGGGAAACUUGAGUGCAGAAGAGGACAGUGGAACUCCAUGUGUAGCGGUGAAAUGCGUAGAUAUAUGGAAGAACACCAGUGGCGAAGGCGGCUGUCUGGUCUGUAACUGACGCUGAGGCUCGAAAGUAUGGGUAGCAAACAGGAUUAGAUACCCUGGUAGUCCAUACCGUAAACGAUGAAUGCUAAGUGUUGGAGGGUUUCCGCCCUUCAGUGCUGCAGCUAACGCAUUAAGCAUUCCGCCUGGGGAGUACGGCCGCAAGGCUGAAACUCAAAGGAAUUGACGGGGGCCCGCACAAGCGGUGGAGCAUGUGGUUUAAUUCGAAGCUACGCGAAGAACCUUACCAGGUCUUGACAUACUAUGCAAAUCUAAGAGAUUAGACGUUCCCUUCGGGGACAUGGAUACAGGUGGUGCAUGGUUGUCGUCAGCUCGUGUCGUGAGAUGUUGGGUUAAGUCCCGCAACGAGCGCAACCCUUAUUAUCAGUUGCCAGCAUUAAGUUGGGCACUCUGGUGAGACUGCCGGUGACAAACCGGAGGAAGGUGGGGAUGACGUCAAAUCAUCAUGCCCCUUAUGACCUGGGCUACACACGUGCUACAAUGGAUGGUACAACGAGUUGCGAACUCGCGAGAGUAAGCUAAUCUCUUAAAGCCAUUCUCAGUUCGGAUUGUAGGCUGCAACUCGCCUACAUGAAGUCGGAAUCGCUAGUAAUCGCGGAUCAGCAUGCCGCGGUGAAUACGUUCCCGGGCCUUGUACACACCGCCCGUCACACCAUGAGAGUUUGUAACACCCAAAGUCGGUGGGGUAACCUUUUAGGAACCAGCCGCCUAAGGUGGGACAGAUGAUUAGGGUGAAG
rnacentral:rRNA from 2 species